UAAAGUGCACUGAAAGCGCCCGGCGUGAAGGAUGUGUUGCCUGGGUCCCCUCCUCAGGGAGCUGCCGGGCGAGGUGGAGGAUUCCCUCUGAAAGAUUAAAAACUCGGCAGUUGUCUUCUGCCACAGGCUGGGGAGGACCCGAGCAACUGCUCCAUUUGAACUGUGACGACGGGCAGGAGGAUGGGAGACGGGAAUUAAGAGUCACGGACGAAGGACAGGGGAGUCUGGCGUCUGCUUGGUCACCUUAAAGGAUUGCCAUUCAGUGUCAUUCAAGAUCUACUAAGCAUCAUUUUUGCAUGACUACGGCAAAAGGAUAUCUUUACAGAAGCAGUUCCUUUUUGAAGUUUAUAAUCUGGGCCCUGUUUUCAGACAGAAGAAAGAACUUCAUCAGAAAGCUUGAGCAAAUGUUUGGCAGAAACAUCCUAACUGUGCACGAUCAGGAAAUAUUUAUUUGAAUUGAAG